GGAGGAACGAGCCCACCUUAGGACUGCCUUUGACAGUCACGGGCCAGCCCCUGCACAGGUGCAAAUUGGCCUAGCUGCCGUGGGGGCAGCAGAGCGGCUUUGAUUUACAGCUCCCGAGGACCUGGCCCUAUGGGAGCUGGUAGCAACCACCUCCCAUCUGCCUCCCUGCAGAAUCCCAGUUUGGCGGCGAUGUUCUAACCGGGGGGAGCCCAUGGCGCUGCCUGCAGCUCAGGACCAGCCCCUGGUCCCCAUCCUGCCUGCUAUCAGACCGCACGAUAGCGCAGAGCCGGACCGUGUCAGAACACCCCAGCCGUACCCCAAAACCAGGAGUGCGGAGCCUGAAGAGCUAGGUUGGAUGGCUGGUGGCAGUGAUGAGACUGGGGGGACCAUGGGAAGAUUAAAUGAAGACUGGAUGCAGGAAUCCCCGGGCGAGGCCUCAGGCCUGCACUGUAUUGGUCAGACUGGGUGAUUGUAACAGUCCCUUCUGGCUGAAUGACUCCAGUCCGGCCUGAAAGAUCUUGUGUCCGAGCCACGUGUCCCUUCCUGCUCCUCUGCCCCUUUCCUCUCUGGUUUUCUGUGUCUGCUCCUCCCUCUCUAUCCCGCCAGCUUGGAUGCAAUAACAACACUCCACUCUCUGACUCCGCUGCUGCCUCUCUCAUCCGGGAUUUUUUCUCCCGUAAUCCUGCUAAUUUUCUGUCCCUAGGUCUGACGACAGCGAUUCCUCUGUCUCGGAGGUGCUGAGAUGUUUGAGAUUGCGGACAGCGUGGUGGGGAAUGUCGGCCCCACCCAUAACUUCGAGCCCCCGCACUACGACGGCAUCGAGUGUCUGGCCAUCCAGGGCGACGUGCUCUUCCGCGGCUCCGGGGACAACGGGAUCAAGAAGUGGGACCUGGAGCAGCAGGAGCUCCUCCAGCAAAUCCCCAACGCGCACAAGGACUGGGUCUGCGCCCUGGCCUUCGUCCUCGGCCGCCCCAUGCUGCUGAGCGCCUGCCGCGGGGGCGUGGUGAAGGUCUGGAACAUGGAGAACUUCACACCCGUUGAGGAGAUCAAGGGCCACGACAGCCCCAUCAAUGCCAUCUGCACCAAUUCCAAGCACAUAUUCACUGCUUCCAGUGACUGCCAGGUAAAGCUAUGGACUUACGUGCCUGGGCUCACCCCCUGCCUUCCUCACCGCGUCCUUGCCAUAAAGGGGCGUGCCACUAGCCUGCCUUGACCCUCCUCCUGCUCUCUCUGGCUCUCACCCCCUCUGGCUCUCUCUCCUUUGCUCUCUCUGUCUCUUCUCUCUCCGCUCUGGUCUCAGCUGCUUCUUAACGCGACCUGACAGUGAAGCUCUGGAGCCGGAGAAGAUUGCUGAAUGGCCAGACCUAGGCACCGGAAAGGCCGGAGCCAGGGUGACUGUCAGGCUCCCUGGCGAGCCCAGGCCCCAGCCCCUCUCCCUGGCUGCGAAGAGCUGGGAGCGGCCUGGCCUGCGUGUGCUCCAGUUUCCAGGACUCUGCGUGACGGCAUCUCAGCUGGGGCUUUGUGAACUGCCCGCUUCCACGGCUAGGGGGCGUCGUUCCCGUCCAGCCCCACACUGGGUUUCCAUGAUGCAUAGGGCUUUCUGCUGACCAGGGCGUGGCCAGGCAGUGCUUCGGGACAUGGCCUUGCCAGCCACGGGGAGGACCCCAAGCUGAGAGACUCAACGGGAUCAUUCCAGUCUGUCCCGCAGCCCGUUCAGCAGCCCCAGAGCCUGGAUGUGCGAGAGGGAUCCUGCCACCUGCAUCCUGCUGCUGGCCUCUGCACCUCCUGGGUGCCUGGGGUCUCAUUCCUUCUGCAAGCGGCUGCAGGCCCCUCUCCACACUUCGUCGUUCAGCAGAGCUGGGAUCUGCUGGCCGGUACCGAAAUACGGAGAGGGCUUGUGUGCUGCCGACCCCAGCCUAGCACCAGCAGGGUGCAUGGAGCACCGCUGGUGAAUGACCCGCUCCCAAAGACGGCUUCCGAGCCCCGGCACUGCACUGGGGCUCCUUGCAAGGGGCUCCGGCAGCAGCUCCAUCGCUGGGUCUCCUGACCAAAUCCGCAUGCUGCCUGGCAAUUGUCGACCUCUGCAUCUGACCCACCUCGUUCGGAGCCAGGAUGCCCCCCCUUCUGCCCCGGGGGUGGAGAGAAGGAAGCUGGCACCUGGGGAAAAUCCCUGCGGGCGUCUCCAAGGAAAAGCGGAAUUUCUGGAUCUGUUCACUCUGGGUACCCCCUGACCUGACUGAGCCUUAAUUCCGCACUGGUCUGUUCACUCUUCCCUGUGGUCCCCUCACUGCCCAUUUGGACACCCGGCUUGGUGCCAUCUCUGCUGUGCGUGGGACUAGCUCAUUCCCAGCUGCUGCGGGAAGGGAUCGAAGCUUUUAUAGUGGGGUUUUAAAGAAUGUUUUAAGCACCCUUGAGAACGGAUUGGGACCUGGGGAUUUUUAAUAGCCGGGAAAGGCUUUAAUGCUGGGAAAAGGGCUAAGCUCUCCGCACCAUCUCACAGGAGGGGUUUAGGUUUGCUUGGGGCAGUUCCCUGCCUGCCGGCCUGUGGGUCCUGGCUUGGGAGAGUCUGGGAUUAGAGUAGUGGAAGGGCGGGCAGGGGGUGGUUAUAUGGUGAGGAGAGAGGUGUGUUGGCAAAGGCAGAGGGCGUGGGGCGCUCUGGACGGGAUCUGCAGCAGGGAGCGGGGCAGGGCUAGAAUAGAGCUGGAUGAAGGGGAGGAUGGGGGUAGCGGGAGGGGCCCACAUGAGACUUGAGGUGCAUUAGCAGAGCUGGGGGGGGCAAUGAGGGGUUGCCCAUGGCCUGCCCAUGCUCUGCUUGCCACCCACCUGCACUGCCAGUCUGGCACGAGACACUAAAUCACCAAGGUCACCCCAGAUUUGGGUUUUAUAAAGGUCAAAAUUCCGUAA